rnacentral:snRNA from 1 species
UAUCGUACUAGUUUCGGCGGUAUAUACUAAAAAUUAGAACGAUUUAGAGAAGAUUAGCAUAGUCUCUGCGCAAGGAUGGAAAGCAAAAUCGCGAAGCGUUCCAGAUUUUU